rnacentral:tRNA from 1 species
GGCUCCGUGGUCAAGCGGUUAAGACACCGCCCUUUCACGGCGGUAACAGGGGUUCGAUUCCCCUCGGAGUCACCA